rnacentral:rRNA from 1 species
AUUGAACGCUGGCGGCAGGCCUAACACAUGCAAGUCGAACGGUAACAGGAAACAGCUUGCUGUUUCGCUGACGAGUGGCGGACGGGUGAGUGAUGUCUGGGAAACUGCCUGAUGGAGGGGGAUAACUACUGGAAACGGUAGCUAGUACCGCAUAACGUCGCAAGACCAAAGAGGGGGACCUUCGGGCCUCUUGCCAUCGGAUGUGCCCAGAUGGGAUUAGCUAGUAGGUGGGGUAACGGCUCACCUAGGCGACGAUCCCUAGCUGGUCUGAGAGGGUGACCAGCCACACAGGAACUGAGACACGGUCCAGACUCCUACGGGAGGAAGCAGUGGGGAAUAUUGCACAAUGGACGCAAGCCUGAUGCAGCCAUGUCGCGUGUAUGAAGAAGGCCUUCGGGUUGUAAAGUACUUUCAGCGGGGAGGAAGGGAGUAAAGUUAAUACCUUUACUCAUUGACGUUACCCGCAGAAGAAGCACCGGCUAACUCCGUGCCAGCCGCCGCGGUAA